rnacentral:rRNA from 1 species
GCCUACGGGGGGCAGCAGUGGGGGAUAUUGCACAAUGGGGGGAACCCUGAUGCAGCGACGCCGCGUGGGUGAAGAAGCGCCUCGGCGCGUAAAGCCCUGUCAGCAGGGAAGAAAAUGACGGUACCUGAAGAAGAAGCCCCGGCUAACUACGUGCCAGCAGCCGCGGUAAUACGUAGGGGGCAAGCGUUAUCCGGAUUUACUGGGUGUAAAGGGGGCGCAGACGGCGAUGCAAGCCAGGAGUGAAAGCCCGGGGCCCAACCCCGGGACUGCUCUUGGAACUCCGUGGCGGGAGUGCAGGAGGGGCA